rnacentral:rRNA from 1 species
UGAAAAUAUGUAAGCCUAAAUUAUUAGUAGUUAAGUUCUUGAAAAUUAAUGAAGAUGGCGGUGUUUUAGUCUAUUCAGAGGAAUCUGCCCUGUAAUUGAUAUUCCACGAUUUAAAUUACUUAGAGUUUUAGCUUACAUAUCGCUGUAGGUUGAAUAUUUUUGUUGAAUUUUAAUAUUCAUGAUUUUUAAUGAAAGGAAAUCAAGUCAAGAUGUAGCUUAUAUCUAAGCAGAGGUGGAUUACAUUAUUUGUAUAUGUGGUUAGUUUCUUGAAAAGGUUUCUAUAAAAUGGAUUUGAAGGUAAUUUUUUACUAAAAUUUGAAAAAUGAUUUUAGCUCUAAAAU